UACGUAGGGUGCAAGCGUUGUCCGGAAUCACUGGGCGUAAAGGGCGCGUAGGCGGCUCAUGAAGGCUGUGGUGAAAGUCCGGGGCUCAACCUCGGAUCGGCCGUGGCGACUCGUGGGCUGGAGCACUGUAGAGGCGGGUGGAAUUCCGGGUGUAGCGGUGGAAUGCGUAGAGAUCCGGAAGAACACCGGUGGCGAAGGCGGCCUGCUGGGCAGUAGCUGACACUGAGGCGCGACAGCGUGGGGAGCAAACAGG
rnacentral:rRNA from 1 species